rnacentral:rRNA from 1 species
GGGCAUUGGCGGGCAGCUUUUCCAUGCAAGUCGAACGGUAACAGGGUGCUUGCACCGCUGACGAGUGGCGAACGGGUGAGUAAUGCAUCGGAAUGUACCGUGUAAUGGGGGAUAGCUCGGCGAAAGCCGGAUUAAUACCGCAUACGCCCUGAGGGGGAAAGUGGGGGACCGUAAGGCCUCACGUUAUACGAGCAGCCGAUGUCUGAUUAGCUAGUUGGUGGGGUAAAGGCUCACCAAGGCGACGAUCAGUAGCGGGUCUGAGAGGAUGAUCCGCCACACUGGGACUGAGACACGGCCCAGACUCCUACGGGAGGCAGCAGUGGGGAAUUUUGGACAAUGGGCGCAAGCCUGAUCCAGCCAUGCCGCGUGUCUGAAGAAGGCCUUCGGGUUGUAAAGGACUUUUGUCCGGGAGCAAAUCCCAGUGGUUAACACCUACUGGGGCUGAGAGUACCGGAAGAAUAAGCACCGGCUAACUACGUGCCAGCAGCCGCGGUAAUACGUAGGGUGCAAGCGUUAAUCGGAAUUACUGGGCGUAAAGCGUGCGCAGGCGGUUGUGCAAGUCUGAUGUGAAAGCCCCGGGCUUAACCUGGGAACGGCAUUGGAGACUGCACGACUAGAGUGCGUCAGAGGGGGGUAGAAUUCCGCGUGUAGCAGUGAAAUGCGUAGAGAUGCGGAGGAAUACCGAUGGCGAAGGCAGCCCCCUGGGAUGACACUGACGCUCAUGCACGAAAGCGUGGGGGAGCAAACAGGAUUAGAUACCCUGGUAGUCCACGCCCCUAAACGAUGUCAACUAGCUG